rnacentral:pre_miRNA from 1 species
AUUCCCUGCCCACAACGAGCUUACAGUCUAGAGGACGAGCUUACAGUCUGAGGUAUCGAUCCUCCUGGGGAUUCUCACCCACUGGACUCAGUACAAGCCUUAGGAUGCUGUUUCUCUAAUUUAUUGAUUUGUGUCCCCCCUCUAGACUGGAAGCUUGUUGCGGGCAGGGAAC